rnacentral:rRNA from 1 species
CAGUCGCCACGGUAAUACGUAGGGCGCAAGCGUUAAUCGGAAUUACUGGGCGUAAAGCGUGCGCAGGCGGUUUUGUAAGACAGAGGUGAAAUCCCCGGGCUCAACCUGGGAACUGCCUUUGUGACUGCAAGGCUAGAGUACGGCAGAGGGGGAUGGAAUUCCGCGUGUAGCAGUGAAAUGCGUAGACAUGCGGAGGAACACCGAUGGCGAAGGCAAUCCCCUGGGCCUGUACUGACGCUCAUGCACGAAAGCGUGGGGAGCAAACAGGAUUAGAUACCCCCGUAGUCCCUGUCUCUUAUAC